rnacentral:rRNA from 1 species
AGUGAACGCUGGCGGUAGGCCUAACACAUGCAAGUCGAACGGCAGCACAGUAAGAGCUUGCUCUUACGGGUGGCGAGUGGCGGACGGGUGAGGAAUACAUCGGAAUCUACUUUUUCGUGGGGGAUAACGUAGGGAAACUUACGCUAAUACCGCAUACGACCUACGGGUGAAAGCAGGGGAUCUUCGGACCUUGCGCGAUUGAAUGAGCCGAUGUCGGAUUAGCUAGUUGGCGGGGUAAAGGCCCACCAAGGCGACGAUCCGUAGCUGGUCUGAGAGGAUGAUCAGCCACAGUGGAACUGAGACACGGUCCAGACUCCUACGGGAGGCAGCAGUGGGGAAUAUUGGACAAUGGGCGCAAGCCUGAGCCAGCCAUACCGCGUGGGUGAAGAAGGCCUUCGGGUUGUAAAGCCCUUUUGUUGGGAAAGAAAAGCAGCAGGUUAAUACCCCGCUGUUCUGACGGUACCCAAAGAAUAAGCACCGGCUAACUUCGUG